GUUUAUCUUCAGGGCAGGGUGUAAUUCCCGACCGGCGGUAAAGCCCGCGACUCCCAUUAUUGGGACUGACUUGGUGUGAUUCCAAGGCCGAUAGUUAUAGUCUAGAUGGUAGAAGAUGGAU
rnacentral:ncRNA from 2 species